CCGACGUCACCUAACGAUGCCACCAGCGAUUAGCCUGAGUUCCUUAAAUGACUCGGCUAGCAGCUUCCGGGAAACCAAAGUGUUUCGGUUCCGGGGGAAGUAUGGUUGCAAAGCUGAAACUUAAAGGAAUUGACGGAAGGGCACCACCAGGAGUGGAGCCUGCGGCUUAAUUUGACUCAACACGGGAAAACUUACCCGGCCCGGACACUGGAAGGAUUGACAGAUUGAGAGCUCUUUCUUGAUUCAGUGGGUGGUGGUGCAUGGCCGUUUCUUAGUUGGUGGAGCGAUUUGUCUGGUUAAUUCCAAAACGAACGAAACUCUAGCCCAACUAAAAAAACUACCAGUCCUUUGUACUGGUAGGACUUUUUAAAGGGACAGGGGGGGAAUCCACCGGCCCAAAAAAAACAAAAACGGGUUGGGGAGCCUUUAAUUUUCCGGCCCCCCCCCCCCCUAACUGAAGGGACCCCGGGGUUAAAAACCCCCCCCCCCGGGGGGGGGAACCCAGGAACCUUUUUCGGCUGGGAAAAAACUUUGUAAUUUUUGCUUUUAAAAAAAUUCCCUAACCCGGGCUAAAACUGGGGUAAAACCCCCCCCCUUUGAAACCGCCGUCUUUAACAUAAAAUUUAGGGGUUCAACCGCGCGGCAGUCCCCUAAGACGGUGGUGGAAAGCCCAUUUUUUUAAAAAACUAAGGUCUCGUGGACGGAAGUGGGAAUUUUACGGGAUCUUUUUUGUUUUGCUUCCUGUCGCGCGAUCGCUAUCACAUAUAUCGAGCUCGGGGGAGAGGAACUGAUGACCCGCGCAUCUCGUGUCGG
rnacentral:rRNA from 1 species